AAAACGGCAAAAAGUAACCACACUGCACUAGGCCACUAGGUGCAGCAGUCCAGCACGAAAACUAGAUCACAAAACAAUUUCACAAAGACAAAACUAAGCCCCAAACCCAAUCAGCUAACCCCAACCCAAAUUCAAACCCUAACAGGUGUCGAUCAUCCUCCACGCAUACCGCGUCUCGUUGUCUUAGCCCAUUACUUCGAUCCCCAAAUUUCCAAAUUCACAAAACAAAACAAACCCUGACAGCCGCAUCCUCUCUCGUACGGUUAUCCUUCUCGUUUUGGCAGCUCGUCUACGCCGCUCCACGUUAGCUUAACUUAUAGUUGCAGCCAACAGCUUCAGCUCUCUCUCUCUCUCUCUCUCCCUCUCUCAAAUUGCCGGCGCAACCAACGAUUUCGGCUCACAACUCUCUCUCUCUCUCAAAUCACCAUCGCAGCCCACGACUUCAGAUUGGCCACGACUUCAGCUCCUCGUCGCAACUCGCCGUCAACUCUUCAUGAUAAGUUAGCUCCUCACAGCCUGUGUAUAUACUCUAUAGUGUGCACGUGUGUACGUUUUAUGUAGAGAAACAAAGCAUUAGAAUUAGGUUGGUUAUAUGAUACAAUAUUAUAAUUCUUGCCCAAGAAUGACUAUGACGUAUAGCUGAUCGGCUAAUCCUAUUCUCAAUUGAAACUCCAAAUUCCACUUUCGACGAUUUUGUUGUAGACAUUCCCUUACUGCCACAAAUCAAAAAUAGCACAAACAGGAAUUUAGUUUGUUGGGGUUGUGUGUUAAUGAUUUGCAGCAAAGGAAUUGAAGAGCAAAGAGCAUGUGAUUGGGAGGAGAGCAGUAAAUUAUAAUUGAUCGGUAUCAACCCAAACCCGAUUUAUAAACCCAAACCGUUUUGUAAUCCAAACUGUAUUGCAACCUGAAAUUAACAACCCGAAAUUGAACCAAAUUAUGAAGCCAAGCCAACCGAAAUUGAACCCACUGAACUGAACUAAAACAAUUUUCUGACCCAUUUGGGUUGAAUUGUUAAACCCGGAUUGCAAACCAAAAACCUUAAUGCCCACCCCUUGUUCACUUAAUACGUUAUGAAUUGCUUUA
rnacentral:lncRNA from 1 species